rnacentral:lncRNA from 1 species
AAGUUCUCAGCUUGACUCUGCUUUCAUUUUUCAUUUCUCAGCCCCUUGAGUUCAAAGGGAGCUCCAGCAUCUCUACAUAUCCCAUGCCAUCCAUGGGCCAGCAGCCUCUUCUCCAGCACCUUGAGCAAAAGUUGGGGCGAUGAUCACUGGGGAAAAGACAUGGACUUGGAUUCUUUGAACUUGCGUGCAGUGAUGGAAUGCUGAUGAGGAGCAGUUGGCCCUGUGACUUCUGAUCUGCAAAACAACAUUAGGAAACUCUUAGUAUCACCAUUAUUGGUGCCAGGCAGCUGUCAGCUGUUCUGCUGUUGACCGGAUUUCAUCUUGUGUUCACCAGUCAACAUCAGCUCUGCCAAUCUCAGGAAACCAACUCCAGACCACUCUAUUGGCACUGCCAUUCCAAUGUGUCAAAGACAAUCUUGUCUGGGACAAAGAUGGAGCCAAGAUUAGGCUGUACCCUGUUGAAUUCCCAGGCUCAGUCCAGGAGUGGCUCUCUCUAUUCUCAUCCACCAAACCCUGUGCACAUGCAAUCAACUAGCAACCAGUACAAGACAAAGGCAUGGCACGGACUCCCAGCCACGAGCCAAGCUGACUCACUUACCGGAGGCUGACUUACGGGAACCGAGAGGCCAGCAUUUGAUCUACGCACAAGUCUUCAGGAAAGUAAAGCUUCAGGGAAAUUGGGUGUCCUAUACAGAGUGAUCAAAUAGCAUGAAAUACAUCUGCAUCCACACCCUCUUCCUUCCUAUGCUUUCCAGUACUGAGCAAUUCCUGUCCUGUGGAAAGUGCUCAGGAAAAUUAGAGGUAGAGUGGUAACCGGCCGGCAGGAGCGGAAACAGUUUGCAUGAGGUUAUGUUAUCUACUGUCUCGGCAACUUUGGUUGACGCACUUUCCUCUUUUUGGUUCCACUGUUUUCAUCAGUGAAAUGCAGGGGUGGGAUGGGUGACUGUGCAAUUACUCUUUGUGCUUAAGUCAUGCUGAAUAUUCAGAAGAUGAGACUGAAAUUCUCUUGUGGAAGAUCCAUUGUUCCAGGAACCUUGGGAGGAAGAAUAUCACAGCAUAUGAGAUACCUUGGAUUGAGAAUCAGAGAUAUCUACAAAACCAUGUUGGGUUGUAUCUUUCUUCUAUAUUCUUCAUGAAGUUACUUGAGUGGGAAUAGUAACACUAGUCUCAGUAGGUUACUGUAAGGUUACAUAAGAUAUUGAAGGCUGUCUAACACAGACUGAGUACUUCAUUAAAUGGAAACUGUGGGAUCUGCAGUGGUGAAUUAAAGUGAGUAAGAAGUGUUCUUUACAUGAGAGGAACUUAACAUUCCACCAGAGUAAGUGGUAAGAGACAUGUAGUAGGG